CAAAGAGUAAUAUAGUUGCAUAACAAUGUAUACAUAAAAAGAAGAUUAUAACUGCAAGAAGCAAAAUAAAGAGGCAAUAAUGGGAGGUCUUAUCACUGAAUAACUAUCUCUUCAGGUUCGAUUCUUGCACAGUACAAACUUCAACCCAAUAUGCAUCCAAAUCAUUUCGCCAUUUUCUAAGUGAUUUUUCAGGUAUUGUUCGCAAUGAAGUCAAGAUUUUGGCACAAUAUCAUCAUCAUAUAAAAACAGGGACUAAUAGCCCCAUUGCUGACCAUAUAUAUUAUUAUAUCAGAUCUAACUUUAUUCGGUAUUCUCUGGUUAUCAUCGUGGAUCGUGUCUCUAUAAACUUUUCACAAUAGGUUAAUUGAUUAAAUUUCUUCCUAUCCCUUGUUGGUACUUUGCCAGCGUAUAAAUAAGGGCCACUUUAGUUUAAUUGCAUUUACAUACUUAUCGAGAAAUAAUAUCAAACAACAAAACCAGCGACUUAUAUACGAAUAAACAGUUCCCUCAGAAUUAGAGCGGACAUCUCAAAACAGGAUAAGGUCGAUAAGAGCAAGGACAAUCAGUGCGCGUGAGAGGAAGAGAGCGAUUCGGUGGCGCCUGCGCAGCGUGCCGAAAGUGCCAAGUGUGCUCGGCGAAUCCGGCUACUUGUGGACCGCUGGAUAAUUCGAUGUUGCGUUCACAAAUUGAAAUAUUUAUGUACAUAAUUCUAAAGGAGUAUUUAUGAGUAAAUUGUGUUAUAAAAUUUGUCAAUUAUAAAGUCAA